rnacentral:tRNA from 1 species
GGGUAAGUGAUUCAGUGGAUAGAAUAGUCGGCUACGAACCGGAAUGUCGGGGGUUCGAUUCCCUCCUUACUCA